GACAGAGGGUGCAAACGUUGUUCGGAAUUACUGGGCGUAAAGCGUGUGUAGGCGGCCGUGCAAGUCGGAUGUGAAAGCCCCGGGCUCAACCCGGGAAGUGCACCCGAUACUGCUCGGCUUGAGUCUCGGAGAGGUUGGUGGAAUUCUCGGUGUAGAGGUGAAAUUCGUAGAUAUCGAGAGGAACACCGGUGGCGAAGGCGGCCAACUGGACGAAGACUGACGCUGAGACACGAAAGCGUGGGGAGCAAACAGG
rnacentral:rRNA from 1 species